GACUGGGGAGGAGACCGCAACACUCAAAUACCCAGAUCCUCUGUUGCUGCCAACCAGGCAUCAAGGCUGCCACUCACCUUUUUCAUCUCCAGGUUUGAGAGUCUCGUGCCCCAGAGUCCUUUGGCUGUGGUGAAAUGUCGACAAUCCUGAAAUGGUUUGGACGGGAAGAUAAGGAGACAGAGGAGAAGGAGAAAGAAAAGGACAAAG
rnacentral:lncRNA from 1 species